rnacentral:misc_RNA from 1 species
UACUGGUGAGAGAGCUCUUACCCAUAUAGUUGAAUACACCCUUUGUGGUGUAGUAUUGUAAUAGUAAAUAUAUUAGGUUAUGUCUAGGGGAGACUGAGAGAAACUAACUAAUAUAUUUACUAUGAGAAGUUAUGCAGCAUGGGCUCUCUUGCGUGUAAUUGGGUUUAUGGGUACUAUAGUUUUGAACUUAUAAUGAUGAUUUAUUAUUAUUGAUAGUAGAAGAUGGCAUGCCUGUGGAUGUAGUCCUAUGUUGAGAGGGUUAACGACGUAAAUAUUAGUAUUUUAUGUGUUUACUUUAUUUCUUUGCAGUUUACACGUUUUCGCAGUGCACAACAAUUGGUAUCAGAGCAUGGGGAUG